rnacentral:rRNA from 1 species
GAUGAACGCUGGCGGCAGGCCUAACACAUGCAAGUCGAGCGGGAGCACAGAGAGCUUGCUCUCGGGUGACGAGCGGCGGACGGGUGAGUAAUGUCUGGGAAACUGCCUGAUGGAGGGGAAUAACUACUGGAAACGGUAGCUAAUACCGCAUAACGUCGCAAGACCAAAGAGGGGGACCUUCGGGCCUCUUGCCAUCAGAUGUGCCCAGAUGGGAUUAGCUAGUAGGUGGGGUAACGGCUCACCUAGGCGACGAUCCCUAGCUGGUCUGAGAGGAUGACCAGCCACACUGGAACUGAGACACGGUCCAGACUCCUACGGGAGGCAGCAGUGGGGAAUAUUGCACAAUGGGCGCAAGCCUGAUGCAGCCAUGCCGCGUGUAUGAAGAAGGCCUUCGGGUUGUAAAGUACUUUCAGCGGGGAGGAAGGCGAUAAGGUUAAUAACCUUGUCGAUUGACGUUACCCGCAGAAGAAGCACCGGCUAACUCCGUGCCAGCAGCCGCGGUAA